rnacentral:snoRNA from 1 species
AGCCCAUGGUGAGAGCACCUUAUCAAGAAAUCUUUGUAUCUCUCCCAUGCAUCAUAGAGUGUUUCUAGCUCCAUCUGCACAAAAGAAGAGAUAUCAUUCCUUAAUUU